rnacentral:rRNA from 1 species
GACGAACGCUGGCGGCGUGCUUAACACAUGCAAGUCGAACGAAGAGCAAUGGAAGCUUGCUUCUAUCAAUCUUAGUGGCGAACGGGUGAGUAACGCGUAAUCAACCUGCCCUUCAGAGGGGGACAACAGUUGGAAACGACUGCUAAUACCGCAUACGAUCUAAUCUCGGCAUCGAGGAUAGAUGAAAGGUGGCCUCUACAUGUAAGCUAUCACUGAAGGAGGGGAUUGCGUCUGAUUAGCUAGUUGGAGGGGUAACGGCCCACCAAGGCGAUGGUCAGUAGCCGGUCUGAGAGGAUGAACGGCCACAUUGGGACUGAGACACGGCCCAGACUCCUACGGGAGGCAGCAGUGGGGAAUCUUCCGCAAUAGACGAAAGUCUGACGGAGCAACGCCGCGUGAGUGAUGACGGCCUUCGGGUUGUAAAGCUCUGUUAAUCGGGACGAAAGGCCUUCUUGCGAAUAGUGAGAAGGAUUGACGGUACCGGAAUAGAAAGCCACGGCUAACUACGUG